rnacentral:rRNA from 1 species
GUGCAUCGAUGAAGAACGCAGCGAAAUGCGAUACUUAGUGUGAAUUGCAGAAUCCCGUGAAUCAUCAAGUCUUUGAACGCAAGUUGCGCCCGAGGCUUCGGCCAAGGGCACGUCUGCCUGGGUGUCGUAUGUCGAUCAGAAUGCCCCAGCCCGUGCUCGGGCCGUGGAGCGGAGUUGGCCGUCCAUGCCUACCGUGCCNUGGUCGGCUAAAAUGCAUUGGGUUUCCGUCGCCUCGCACUGGUGAGCGGUGGUUCGGCUGUCGUGUGGCGACCGACCCGCGUGGGCUGGUGCGGGGGACAGGCGGUGCGCCUCUGUAGCCUCGAUGCCCGUCGUCCCGGGGCCCCCUGCCGGCGUACUACGGGCCUCUUCCCCGCGACCCCAGGUCAGGCGAGAGCACCCGCUGAGUUUAAAGCAUAA